GCGCAUUAUUUAUUUCAUAGUGAUUCUUUAUUUUAUAGUGAUUUGUUGAUAAAUUAUGGUGCUGAUCGUGAAGAAUUUUUCUGGGAUUUAGUGUUGAAAACUAUUUGUGACUGUGCAUAAUGCAAUCAGUAGAGUCAGUGUUUGUUUCGUAAUAAUCUUCGUAUUUCUUAAAACACUUAGUUCUAAUUAUAAUAAAUUUUUCGCGAUAUUAGAAUCAUUGUUUUUUCAUCGAUUAUAAUUAUAAUUUAUAUAAUAAUUUUAUGCAAUAAUAAUCCUUUUUUUGUAUUUUUUUUUAAAUAUUCAUUUUCGAUAUAUUAGAAUUAUAUAUGUAUUUCUAUCAAGAAGAUAAAACAAUCAUCCACAUGAAGAGAUUUCUUCCACGUUCUUCUAAUAUUGCUGAAGAUUUCUUCUGAAUCAGCUAUUAAUGGUAUUCUUCGCAUCUUAUGGUGAGUCGCAUGUAUUUUUGUUCCUCUGGUCACUCAAUCAUGUCGUAGGAUGAAAGGUCCGAAUCGACACGAGUGAUUGGUUGUAUACGUAGAAUUUUGUACGAGCACAGUGAUCAUGAGUAUUUAUUAUACUUGUGAGUAGUAGCAUUA